UACAGAGACUGCAAGCGUUAUUCGGAUUCACUGGGCGUAAAGGGUGCGCAGGCGGCCAAGUGUGUUAGGCGUGAAAGCCCGGGGCUUAACCCCGGAAUUGCACCUAAAACUACAUGGCUAGAGCAUUGGAGAGGGUAGCGGAAUUCACGGUGUAGCAGUGAAAUGCGUAGAUAUCGGUAGGAACACCAGUGGCGAAGGCGGUCUCCUGGGGCAUUCUUGACGCUGAGGCGCGAAAGCUGGGGGAGCAAACGGG
rnacentral:rRNA from 1 species